GAAAGAGGAGGAGGAGGCGGAGGCGGAGCGUCUCCUCAGCCCGGCCGCGCGCACCUCUCUCCCCCCCCCCCCUCAAGAGCGAGCUCCGGCCUCGCCAAGGCGGCUCCGACGGGGCGGCGUGAGGCUGAGGAGAAGCGGCGCUGGUGCCCAGCGAGAAGGAGCUCGGGAGGCGGCUGCUGCUGCUGCUGUGGCGGCGUCUCUGGAUGGGGCCGCGGCUGGCGGGGGCUGCCUCGCGUCCGCGUCGCCAGGGGCGGCUCCUUCCUCCUCCUCCUCCUCCUCUUCUUCCUCCUCCUGAGGGGAAACCGGCCGCCUCCUCUCGCCGACGCUGCCGCGACUGAAGGAAGCAGGCUCGGGGGCGGCGGCCGCCUCUUCUUCCUCCUCGUCCUCGUUCUCCUCCUCCUCAGCCCGGUCGGGGCGGCGCCUGAGGGAGGCGUCGGCGGCGGCAGCAGCAGCGGCGUCGGCGGCGUCGGGCCUUCCUCCCGCCGGCCCCAAUGCAGCAGCAGCAGCAGCCUGACUCAGCGGCGGAGGCGCGGGAGAGGAAGAAGAUGGCGCAGCCCGCGAUGCUGCCUCGGAGGGGCGGCAGCAGCAGCGGCGGCGGCGGCGGUUUGGAGGACUUCCCGGCCGGCCUGCUUGCCCAGCCGACGCCGGCUUCCCCUGCCGCAUCCUCCGCCUCCCCCUCCGUCUCGGUCUCCUCCUGCCCUCCCGGGGCUCCUCCGCCGCAGAGCCUGGCGCUGCUCUCGCAGGGGGGAGGAGGAGGAGGCGGCGGCGGCGGCGGCGGGCCGGCGGGCGCCCAGUUGAAGAAGAAAAGCGGCUUCCAGAUCACCAGCGUGACCCCGGCGCAGAUCUCGGCCAGCCUCAGCUCCAACAACAGCAUCGCCGAAGACACCGAGAGUUACGACGACCUGGACGAGUCGCACACCGAGGACUUCUCCUCCUCCGAGAUCCUGGACGUCUCGCUCUCCCGGGCCACCGACUUGGGGGAGCCCGAGCGCAGCUCCUCCGAGGAGACGCUCAACAACUUCCACGAGGCCGACAGUCCCGGCGCCGUCUCCCCCAACCAGCCUCGCCCGGCCCAGCAGCCCCGAGGGCUGACCAACGGCAGCGCCCACCCGCCGCACAUGCCCCACUAUCCCCAAGGGGGGCACCCCCAGCCCCCCUCCCAUGCCGGGGUCCCCCCACCGAUGUCGGGGGGAUCUCCAUCCAGCCCGUCUUUCCGAAGGCUGCCCGUCGCGGGAAGCUUGGAGAGGCCUGGUCCUGCAGGAGCAUCCUCCGUGGCGGCCCUUGCGGGGGCCACCGUGGCUCACUUCCAUGCGGGGGCCACUUCUGUUGGGGGAGCCGUGGGCGGUGCAGCGAGUGGCAGGGCCCGCCAGGUGGGCAAGACCCUCACGAACCUUGCUGCUGCUGGCAACGGCAUGGCCUUGCCUGGAGGGGGCCACCCUGGGAACGUGGCGCACUCUGGCGGGAUCGGCAACGGCAACGGAGCCUCCUCAAACGCCUCCGGUCAUCCAGCCGCAGGGGCCACGGCAACGGGUCACCUGCAGCCGGCCGGCACCACCUCCCGUUUCCGUGUGGUGAAAUUAGAUUCAAGUUCGGAGCCGUUUAAGAAAGGCCGAUGGACUUGUACCGAGUUCUAUGACAAGGAGAAUCCCGGGGCGGUGGCUGAAAGUGCUCCCGUGGCUAAAACAGUGGACACUCUCCUAGACGUGGCCUCCGAAAGGGAAAGUACCAGCGGGAGCUCGGUCAGUAGCACCCUGAGCCACUACACCGAGAGCGUGGGCAGCGGGGAGAUCGGGGCGCCUCCUGGGACGCAGCUGCAAGGGUUUCAAGGUGUGCCUCAGCAGAUGGAAUUCAGCAGCGCCGGAGGGCCCCCAGCGUCAGCACCAGGGCUCCCCCAGAGUAUGUCUCAAUCCCAGCUCUCCCAAGUCCAGCCGCAUCCUCAAGAGGUCAGCUACCCUCCGCAGAAGCAAGGGGUCCCCCCUCCCGCCUCGGCCGUUCCUCCUCCGUUGACCGUUGUUGGUGGCCAUCAACCAACUCUGCCGUUCACCCCACCGCCGGCCCAGCCGGUCCCUACAGUUCCAGUCGCUGCACAGCCCCAGCAGUUACCGUUUGGGCAGGGACAGGCUCAGCACCCCACCGCCCUGCCGCCCAUGCCUAUGCAGAUGGCUCCAGGGCAGCAUGUGAAGCCCGUUGCCCAAGCUUCAUUGCCCGAGUACAUCCAGCCGCCGCAGAUGCUUCCAGCUUCUUCUUUGCAGCCUGGGACGGCAAUCGUCGGAAGCGGUUCAGCCGUGCCCAUCGCUCAGCCUUCGAAUAUGCAGCUUCCUGUCCAGACACACGUCCCGGUGGUACCUUCUCAGCCUGUGGCGCAGGCCCAUCCCGCCAUCCCAGCCGUAGGUGCUCCCUCUGCGCUGAUGAAUGCUGGACAGCCAGGAAGCGUCGCUCCCGUGGCCCAGCGGCCCUCCGUUGCAAGUCAGAUUGCUCCUUCCGUGCUGGCCCCCAGUGUUGCUGUUCCUGCACCCUCCCAAGCAGCCCCAGGAUCCCAAAGUGUUCCAUCAGGCCUUCCUCAGACUUUGGGCAUCCCACCACCGAGCAACCUGAUGCCCAUGCAAGCCGCUGAUCCUCUGGUUCAAGGAAUGGCCCAGUUGCCUCCUGUUAGCCCAAUCCCUUCUGUCAGCACUGCUCCUGUGCCCGGCCACUCGGCUUCUAGCAUUGCCCCUGCGCCCGUGAGCCUGGCUCCUUCCAAGACCCUCGCCCAGCCUUCAAGUAUGCAAAAUGGGAGCCUGGUCCAAAAUGCCUCUCAGCCUGCCUUGCUUUCCACGGGCGUCCAUUUGCCGGGAGCCCCCAACUCUUCCCAGUUCUCCUCCCAGUCCCUCGCUCAGUCUAUCGCGAGCCGAACUGAAGAGGCCAAGCGCCCUACGACGGAGUCCAUCCUGGCUGGCUUAACCCAGCCUUCUGGUGGCGCUGAAACCUCCUCCGCCUUGGCAGAUGGCAGCAUGGUUUCGUCUCUCUUCCCCCUGAAGGUACUUCCGCUGGCCGCUCUGGAUGGCGAGGAAGACAGAAAUUGGCUGACUAUCUCAUCAGCAGGAGAGAGUGAAGGAAACUUCUGGAAAUUAUCCAGGGCAGGUGACAGAAGAACCAUCGGAGGGGAUAGGAAAUGACAGCAUUGUCAAAUUGGGCCUUUUCUAAACAAAGUGACCUUGGAUUUGGUAUUAUGCCAGCAAUUCAAUAAAACACUCUAGUUUCCAGCAUUCCCAAGGGGCACAUGGAUCAAAAUUCAGCACUUGGCAACUGACAUGAACUUAAGACUGUUGCAGCGUUCCAGAUUCAUAUACAUAAAAUCAUCAAAUGCUACAUAUAAAAUACGUAUUAUACAUGUUAAGCAUUUAAACAAUUUUAUCUACUUGAUGUCCAUUACUAAUGUUAUAUUGUUUCAUUUUUUUCAAUAUUCUGGCUCCAUUUUUAAACAAUGAACCUGGACAGUUUUCUUGUUUUCUUCCAAAGACUGAGAAUUGAGAAGUUUUGUUAAGUGAUCAUUUAGAUCAGGGGUCUCCAACCUUGGAAACUUUAAGCCUGGCAGACUCCAACUCCCAGAAUUCCCCAGCCAGCAAAACUUGCCAAGGUUGGAGACCCCGAUUUAGAUGUUAAAAGCUAAGCAAACAAGGUUUGGUUUGUGUCUGUAAACAUGGUUGGCACGUGUUGUGGUUGAUUCCUAAUUGUAAUGGUCCAGAACAAUUUAGCAGGUUUGUAUGUGUGUGUGUGUGGACAGUGACCACAACAUCUGGCCCUUGAAACAUCUGGUAGUUCUUGCUAGAGCUACCAAUAAAAUUGUGAAAAAAGAUUAAGGGCAUAUCCAGGAGAGAAAUACAUAAUUUGCAUGGAGAAAUUUCCUUUUUAAAGAUACUUCCUUAGCAUUUCCAAGUUCUAAAAAAAACAGAAAAGAAAUUUGUAGCUCCAGUAAUUUAAUUUCAUGUAUUGCAACUUCAGCAGGUAAAUUUUAUCCAAGUUAAUUCUUGAAUCUGUUCCCAUCGACAGCUGUCAUCCAUAGUUAGCAUAUGUGAGUCCAGAUUAAUCCUUCCAUCUCAUUCUUCUAUUCAUUUUCCUGGAUUUUAUGUUUUCUGGAAUAGUUUUCCACAAAGCUGUGCAGCUGAAGUUGCAAACAGAAAAUAUUCACGUGUUACUGCAAUAUUUAUUUAACCAGAAACGUAUUUCAUUUUGAAUCAAGUGUUUCCUUGAUUCACAAAUAAUGUACAUUUAAUUUUCUGUUGGUGACCAACAAAAUUUGAAAAAAAAAAUACAACAUCAAAAUGAUAUCAAAUAGAUGAAAUAAAAUAUUAGCAUAACAAAGAUAAAAUAACAAAAUGUAACUAGUAAAAUGGUAUAAUGAUUACCCAUGCAAGAGGAAAUCUAAAAUAUUACAAUCUAUGAAGUAAAAUCUACGUAAUCUAAAACAAGAUAGCUAGCGUGAACAGGUAAUCCUUGACUUAUGACUGUAAUUGAGCCCAGAAUUAUAAGUCAUUGCUGUCAUUGAGCAGGUCAUCACAUGACCAGAUCCCAUUUUAUCAAAUUGAUUGUGGCCAUCAAACGAAUGCUACAAUUGUUAAAAGAAUCCAUUUUACCCUAAGAUAAACCAGAAGUAAAUGCUGGAAACUGGCAAAGAAAAUCAAAAAUGAUGUUUGUGUGACUGAAUGUGUGGAAUUGCCAAGCAAAAAGUCACUGGGUUCAUCUUACUCAUUUUUUGAUUAAGUGACAUCAUCAAUAGAUUGUGUGAAUGCUUCAGACAUAAUAUAUCUUGACUUCAGUCGCUGAUGAGUGCAUGUUGAAUGGCAUGACAAGUGGGUAGAGGAUAUUGAGAUUGGGUUGAAGGGUUUACAAUGAUCCCGUGAAGAUCAUAUGAAACUCUACUAGCGGUUUACAAAGCUUUAGUAAGACCACAUUUGGACUAUUGCAUCCAGUUCUGGAUACCACAAUACGAAAAGGAUGUUGAGACUCUGGAAAGAGUGCAGAGAAGAGCAACAAGAAUCAUUAGGGGGCUGGAGGCUUAAAAAUAUGGAGAAUGGUGACAGGAAUUGGGUUUGUCUAGUAUAACAAAUAGGAGGACUAGGGGUGAU